UUUGAUAUUGUUUAUGAUUAUACAGAGUGUUCUACCACGGGCAGAGAGUCCAGGCCAAAUAAAGGAAAUAAAGUCGUUAGGAAAGAAGAAAAAACAAUCUACUUCCACAAUCCAAGUUGGCUGGAUGCAUUUUUUUUAUGGGGAACGUCGCUAUGCCCAGGUGAAAAGCAGUAGGGGUUGCACAACUGGAGGAACAGGAACAUUGUCACUUCCAUCAGAUAGUACCUAUGGCCUAACACUGAACAAGUUAGAGGAGAGGUAUUUUCCAAAUGAAAAGAAUUCAAAGGGAAAAUAAGGAGAAUGGAAACAAAACUUGGCACCAGCAAAGGAGAGGAGAUCCUGGAAACAAGCUUCCCUCUUGAUAACUAUCUGACAAAUGUUGCGUGUACACAAAAACCACGCAUAGAUUUGCUAACAAAGCAAAAGGUAUGUACAAAAACAAUUACAUUUUACACAGGUGGGAUUAAUUAUCAGCCAACUCAUAAUAGUUGCAAAUCAAUGACUAAAUUCAGUGACAAAUGAACAUAUACCGGAUAUGAUAAAUGGUUUUUAUCAAAACUUGAUUGACUGCUAGGAAAGAGUUAUCAUUUUAAAAUGAAAAGUGCUGUAUUUUUUUAUUUAUUUUUUUGUAUCUUGCUCUUUUGUUUUUAAAUAGUUAUGAACUUUGGCUUUUUGCAAACAUCUUAAUUCAAAAAUUCUUUGGUCUCCCUAUGUAAAUCAUAUCAUUAAAAGCACAUAUAUUUUUUAUAGGUUUAUAUGGGUUUGCAAGGCUAUAAUAGAGAGUACUUUGUGAAUUCAAAACUUUCAAGCAAUUAACAUUUCGAACAUACAUAACAUACUAGUACUUCAGGCAAAUUAUUUGCAAACAUUGAUAACCUUUCAACAACAGAUGGUUAUGAAUCUCAAUUAAAUUUUUACACAAUUUUAAUUUUGUAAAUGUUUAUUGAACAAAUAUGCAUACCAUUUUUAUGGUUAUCAAUUCUAUGUGCAACAUACAUUAAGUUACAAAAAUGAAGUACAUGUAUUCAAUUACAACUGAUCAAUUUUAAUAUAAAAAUCAUUGCAUAUUUUGUUUGUUUGUUUUUGACAUUGAGGGCCUCGAGACUGGAUCAUCGGAUUUUGAUGGAUUUGAUUUGCCUGAUCCAUUUGUGGAAUACAGUCAUGUAGCUACGUCGACCUCCACAAAUGUCUUCACUAUGGGCAACGUAACUACACCAGCAUCACAAGUACCGGUAACACCAACCACAACAAUGCCUGUCGUGACACCACCAGUAAGGCCCAUCACAACAAUUUAACUCCUAUCUCUACAAUGUCGGCCCUAACAGUCCCAACAAUACCAGUACAUGUACAGACACCAGCACCAACCUAUGGGCCAAUGCUGGGACAUCAACAGUCUCAAUGAGACUUCCAACAGAUGGGGAUUGUGGAAUCUGCACUGAUAGACAACGGAGUGCCUUCUUGGUGCCAUGACGGCACACGUUUUGCAUGGUAUGUGCAUUGCACCUGGAAUCUACCAGCAGAUUGUGUGCUAUCUGCAGAACAGUUAUUACUAAAGUCAAUCCUUUAUACAACUAACAGUUCUUUGGACAAAAUAACUGUAUGCCUUUUUUGAUUGCAUAAAUUGAAAUGAUACUAAUAGCUACUAGUGACGGGUACAGGCCAGUACUGCACUUACACAAGCUAGGUUGAACGCUUUUUCAGUGAAAUAACUAUUUCUCCUUAUGUUUGAGAGCACUGCUGAUAGCAUCAAUAAGUUUACAUUAUCUCAAUCUGUAUGAAUGGAAAUGGGUAAUAAUGGCACCCAAAUGACAACAGAUGGCCCCGAUUGACUUCUGCAAUGCAUGAGGCGAUUUAACUUCCUGAACAAUGUCUAGUUCGUAAAAUACAAUUUGAACUGUGAACCUUCGAUUUUUAUGCUUGCGAACAUAUUCUAUUAAUUCAGAUCUGGAUUACAUGAUGAUGACUAUAACUCUCAAAAGGCAUAAUUUGAUACACCUGUAAUGGAAAUUUAACGGAAGUGGUGAAUACGUAUUUUUCUAAUGUGAUUGUCUCCAUAUGUUAACAAAAGUAUUACUUUACAUUUCAUUCAUUAACGAAUUUGGGGAACGUGCUGUAUUAAUGUUUUUCAUAAUUUCAUACAUAUAUUAGGGCCCUGCAUCAGAGAUGCGGUUGUCCUAUAGUAAUCGGGUAAACCAGUCCGUCCAGCUUUCCAUCUGAUUUUUUGCGUUUGCAGAAUAUUGAUGGAAAUAAAUGAUCUUUUUUAAAUUAAACACAAUGAUUUCCCUUUGACCUUAGUUCUGCUUGGUAAGUUUUUGGUCUGAUUGGAUUUUAAUCAGCCAUCUUAGAUUUUAGCAUAAACAUUUUCAAAUGUUGUUUCUCUUAACUGGUAAACAUUUUGUUAUGAUAUUAUGAAGCAAAAUUGGUCAAAAUCAAAGAAGAAGUCAAAUGAUCAAGGGUCAUGGUCAUUAUAUCAAAGGUCAAGGUCAUUUUUUAUCGCUUAGCUAGUAAACAUUUUGUUUUGUUACACCUCAAGUGAA
rnacentral:lncRNA from 1 species